rnacentral:rRNA from 1 species
CCCUUAGAUGUUCUGGGCCGCACGCGCGCUACACUGAUGCAUUCAACGAGUUUCUUCCUGGUCCGAGAGGAGUGGGUAACCUUUUGAAAGUGCAUCGUGAUAGGGAUAGACUAUUGCAAUUAUUGGUCUUCAACGAGGAAUUCCUAGUAGACGUAGUUCAUCAGACUGCAUCGAUUACGUCCCUGCCCUUUGUACACACCGCCCGUCGCUCCUACCGAUUGAAUGCUCAGGUGAGCCAUUCGGACCUUCAUCAUGCCGGUUUCCGGUUUUGAUGAGGGAAAGUCUUGCGAACCUUAUCAUUUAGAGGAAGGAGAAGUCGUAACA